rnacentral:rRNA from 1 species
GACGAACGCUGGCGGCGUGCUUAACACAUGCAAGUCGAACGGAAAGGCCCUGCUUUUGUGGGGUGCUCGAGUGGCGAACGGGUGAGUAACACGUGAGUAACCUGCCCUUGACUUUGGGAUAACUUCAGGAAACUGGGGCUAAUACCGGAUAGGAGCUCCUGCUGCAUGGUGGGGGUUGGAAAGUUUCGGCGGUUGGGGUUGGACUUGCGGCUUAUCAGCUUGUUGGUGGGGUAGUGGCUUACCAAGGCUUUGACGGGUAGCCGGCCUGAGAGGGUGACCGGCCACAUUGGGACUGAGAUACGGCCAAGACUCCUACGGGAGGCAGCAGUGGGGAAUAUGGCACAAUGGGCGGAAGCCUGAUGCAGCAACGCCGCGUGCGGGAUGACGGCCUUCGGGUUGUAAACCGCUUUCGCCUGUGACGAAGCGUGAGUGACGGUAAUGGGUAAAGAAGCACCGGCUAACUACGUG